rnacentral:rRNA from 1 species
GACGAACGCUGGCGGCGUGCUUAACACAUGCAAGUCGAACGGAAAGGCCCUGCUUUUGUGGGGUGCUCGAGUGGCGAACGGGUGAGUAACACGUGAGUAACCUGCCCUUGACUUUGGGAUAACUUCAGGAAACUGGGGCUAAUACCGGAUAGGAGCUCCUGCUGCAUGGUGGGGGUUGGAAAGUUUCGGCGGUUGGGGAUGGACUCGCGGCUUAUCAGCUUGUUGGUGGGGUAGUGGCUUACCAAGGCUUUGACGGGUAGCCGGCCUGAGAGGGUGACCGGCCACAUUGGGACUGAGAUACAGCCCAGACUCCUACGGGAGGAAGCAGUGGGGAAUAUUGCACAAUGGGCGGAAGCCUGAUGCAGCAACGCCGCGUGCGGGAUGACGGCCUUCGGGUUGUAAACCGCUUUCGCCUGUGACGAAGCGUGAGUGACGGUAAUGGGUAAAGAAGCACCGGCUAACUACGUG